rnacentral:rRNA from 1 species
UACGGGGGGGCAAGCGUUGUUCGGAAUUACUGGGCGUAAAGGGCUCGUAGGCGGCCAACUAAGUCGGAUGUGAAAUCCCCAGGCUCAACUUGGGAACUGCAUCCGAUACUGGAUGGCUUGAAUUCGGGAGAGGGAUGCAGAAUUCCAGGUGUAGCGGUGAAAAUGCGUAGAUAUCUGGAGGAAUACCGGUGGCGAAGGCGGCAUCCUGGACCGACAUUGACGCUGAUGAGCGAAAGCUAGGGGGAGCAAACGGGG